CCUACGGGAGGCAGCAGUGAGGAAUAUUGGUCAAUGGACGAGAGUCUGAACCAGCCAAGUAGCGUGAAGGAUGACUGCCCUAUGGGUUGUAAACUUCUUUUAUAUGGGAAUAAAAUGUUCCAUGUGUGGGAUUUUGUAUGUACCAUAUGAAUAAGGAUCGGCUAACUCCGUGCCAGCAGCCGCGGUAAUACGGAGGAUCCGAGCGUUAUCCGGAUUUAUUGGGUUUAAAGGGAGCGUAGGUGGAUUGUUAAGUCAGUUGUGAAAGUUUGCGGCUCAACCGUAAAAUUGCAGUUGAAACUGGCAGUCUUGAGUACAGUAGAGGUGGGCGGAAUUCGUGGUGUAGCGGUGAAAUGCUUAGAUAUCACGAAGAACUCCGAUUGCGAAGGCAGUUCACUGGACUGCAACUGACACUGAGGCUCGAAAGUGUGGGUAUCAAACAGGAUUAGAUACCCGAGUAGUC
rnacentral:rRNA from 1 species